rnacentral:rRNA from 1 species
AGAGUUUGAUCAUGGNUCAGGAUGAACGCUAGCUACAGGCUUAACACAUGCAAGUCGAGGGGAACGACAUCGAAAGCUUGCUUUUGAUGGUCGUCGACCGGCGCACUGGUGAGUAACGCGUAUCCAACCUGCCCAUCACUUGGGGAUAACCUUGCGAAAGUAAGACUAAUACCCAAUGAUAUCUCUAGAAGACAUCUGAAAGAGAUUAAAGAUUUAUCGGUGAUGGAUGGGGAUGCGUCUGAUUAGCUUGUUGGCGGGGUAACGGCCCACCAAGGCAACGAUCAGUAGGGGUUCUGAGAGGAAGGUCCCCCACAUUGGAACUGAGACACGGUCCAAACUCCUACGGGAGGCAGCA